rnacentral:rRNA from 2 species
GAUGAACGCUGGCGGCGCGCCUAACACAUGCAAGUCGAACGGUUAAAGCACCUUUUAGGUGUGUAUAAAGUGGCGAACGGCUGAGUAACACGUGGGCACCUGCCCUCCUCUUGGGGAUAGCCUCGGGAAGCCGAGGAUAAUACCCGAUACUUCAAUGUGGCCGCAUGACGACAUUGAGAAAGCUUUUGCGGAGAAGGAUGGGCCCGCGGCCUGUUAGCUUGUUGGUGGGGUAGAGGCCUACCAAGGCAAUGAUGGGUAGCUGGGUUGAGAGACCGACCAGCCAGAUUGGGACUGAGACACGGCCCAGACUCCUACGGGAGGCAGCAGUGGGGAAUCUUGCACAAUGGGCGAAAGCCUGAUGCAGCGACGCCGCGUGCGGGACGAAGGCCUUUCGGGUUGUAAACCGCUUUCAGCAGGGACGAGGCGAAAGUGACGUACCUGCGAAGAAGCCCCGCUAAUA